UACCAGCACCCCGAGUGGUCGGGACGUUUAUUGGGCCUAAAGCAUCCGUAGCCGGUUCUACAAGUCUUCCGUUAAAUCCACCUGCUCAACAGAUGGGCUGCGGAAGAUACUAUGGAGCUAGGAGGCGGGAGAGGCAAGCGGUACUCGAUGGGUAGGGGUAAAAUCCGUUGAUCCAUUGAAGACCACCGGUGGCGAAGGCGGCAUCCUGGACCGGCAUUGACGCUGAGGCGCGAAAGCCAGGGGAGCAAACGGG
rnacentral:rRNA from 1 species